rnacentral:tRNA from 1 species
GCCUUCGUGGUGCAAUGGCCAAGCACACUCGGCUCGAGUUCAAGAUUUCGUGGUUCAAGUCCCGGCGAAGGCA